AAUCCAUUAUGUGGGCAUAUUUUUAUUAGCAUUUUAAAAUGCUCCCAAGCUUUGUGAAAGCUCUCUUCUUCUAAUUGUUUGAACGUUGUGAUCUUUCUCCUCAAUU
rfam:Gossypium hirsutum cultivar TM-1 chromosome 2, whole genome shotgun sequence